rnacentral:rRNA from 1 species
ACUCAAAGGAAUUGACGGGGGCCCGCACAAGCAGCGGAGCGUGUGGUUUAAUUCGACGCAACGCGAAGAACCUUACCAGGGCUUGACAUGCUAUGUUCAGUCCGUGAAAGCGGAUGGCCCUUCGGGGCGAAUAGUGCAGGUGCUGCACGGCUGUCGUCAGCUCGUGCCGUGAGGUGUUGGGUUAAGUCCCGCAACGAGCGCAACCCCUGUCGCCAGUUGAAUGCUCUGGCGAGACUGCCGGUGGCAAGCCGGAGGAAGGCGGGGAUGACGUCAAGUCAGCGUGGCCCUUACGUCCUGGGCGACACACACGCUACAAUGGCCGGUACAGCGCGACGCCACCUCGCGAGAGGGAGCAAAUCGCCCAAAGCCGGCCCCAGUUCAGAUUGCAGGCUGAAACUCGCCUGCAUGAAGGCGGAGUUGCUAGUAACCGCGGGUCAGCACACCGCGGUGAAUACGUUCCCGGGCCUUGUACACACCGCCCGU